GAUGAACGCUGGCGGCGUGCCUAAUACAUGCAAGUCGAGCGAACGGACGAGAAGCUUGCUUCUCUGAUGUUAGCGGCGGACGGGUGAGUAACACGUGGAUAACCUACCUAUAAGACUGGGAUAACUUCGGGAAACCGGAGCUAAUACCGGAUAAUAUUUUGAACCGCAUGGUUCAAAAGUGAAAGACGGUCUUGCUGUCACUUAUAGAUGGAUCCGCGCUGCAUUAGCUAGUUGGUAAGGUAACGGCCUACCAAGGCAACGAUGCAUAGCCGACCUGAGAGGGUGAUCGGCCACACUGGAACUGAGACACGGUCCAGACUCCUACGGGAGGCAGCAGUAGGGAAUCUUCCGCAAUGGGCGAAAGCCUGACGGAGCAACGCCGCGUGAGUGAUGAAGGUCUUCGGGUCGUAAAACUCUGUUAUUAGGGAAGAACAUAUGUGUGAGUAACUGUGGACAUCUUGACGGUACCUAAUCAGAAAGCCACGGCUAACUACGUG
rnacentral:rRNA from 1 species